CGAAGAUCUUUGCACAGCCUUCACGGAGGUGUGGAAACACGAUUCUCCUGUCCUGUUGCUGGCUCUGCAGUAAUUAAAGCUUCAGUCUCUACUGCCCUCCUGUUAGUCUCUUGGUUUUAAUGAUACCGCUAACACAGAUACUUCUGAACAACUUUUCUGGCACACUCUUCCUUUCUGAAACGUGUGAUUCUCCCUCUGUGGUUUGGUGCACGGGAACUCGACAUAACUCAGGGUGGGAACUUGGCUACAAGGGCUAAGACUUCUAAUUUGUACUAGAGAAUGCCUCUUUUAUGGAUCUACACUGGGACUGAAGAUCACUUCUGAGUGAGCCCGCCUCAGCAUUCACAGGAAUCUAACAGGAAGGAAGCAGGUUCUAAAGUAACUUUCCUGUUGUUCCUAGAAAAAUAGUCACAACAGGGCAAAAGCAGUUACUCUCUGUAUUAUUCACAGCAUAAAUUAUAUGCUCCCAAAUAUAAUUAGCACUUGUAUCUGUAACAGAUAGCUACACUUUCUGGUUAUGUAUCUAUCAAAUUUUCAUUUUAAUAGUGAUGACUCAUAAUGAAAUUAUGCAUUCAUCGUUCCAUUCAUUAAACUGUUUGACUUGCAGGCUGUGCAUGUAAACUGCAAAUUCUC
rnacentral:lncRNA from 1 species